AUGCAUCGGUCGUCCCGCCACCAGAGAGUGGAGUGGUCCGGCGCAGCUGUAGAGAGGAUAGGAGCACAGGAAGCAGACGACCGGAGAAUGUCGGCCGUCCGGUGCACGGUUGUCCGGGGAGGACGGGAAUCCAUUAAUUUCGGUUCUGUGAAGUGGCACCGGAUGACCAGACACCCAUGGAUGUCCGAAAGCCGGUCGUCCGGAAGGGCCAGAAAUCCGAGAUUUUCUUUCUGUAAAGUGGCUUCGGACAUCCGGAGGACUGUGAUGCGCCGUUCAUCCGGAAACCUUCAGACGUCCAGACAAGUGACGGGUGGGCUCGUCUCACUCGCUCGUUGGCUGGGUAAACUUUGUUCGUGUCCGCGAGGGAUUUGCCAAUCCCCUCUGCCCGCGCGUCAAAACCCUAGCCGCCAGCCCUGCUCGUCCCGAGCCUGCGCCCACUCCGCCCCGUUCUCCUCCCCGCUCCCUCCAUCCUCUCCCAUGGCGCCGCCCCUCUUCUCCCCACUCGCCUCGGCCGCGUCUUCUCCUCCCCCGCGUCGUCGGCCCCCUCCCUCCUCCUCCCCCCUCUGUCCUUCGUCAUCACACGGGUCUUCCGGCCAGUGCCGGGGUGCAGCUGACGGCGGCCUCAGCGGGUGGGCGAUGGCGGCCGCAGCUAUGCACAAGCUCGCAUCGCCCUGGCGCCGAUCUCGCGCGGCUCCUGCGCCUCGCCACCCUCUUCUCCCCAGCUCAGCAGGAGGUUUGCGAGGCCACCACUUGGGCCGCUGCUGCCUCUUCCGCCCAGCAGGAGGAGCACGAGGUGAGCAGCAACAACGGGGACAGGCGACCUCGGGGAGAGUUUGCGGAGGGGCGCAUAUCAGAUCCUUUCUGAAUCCGAUGGUGUCAAUCGAGCCACAGAGAGGAAGUGAGUUGGAGAUGAGAUGGGGACAGAAGAUCCUUCUCGGCUGGUUCCAAGGCCGUGAGGGGAAGGACUUCCUGUUGUCCGCCGGAGGGGAAAGAGCAGAGAUCCGAGAGACGAAGCAACCAGAGGAGCCGGAGAACACGACCCAUGUCCUAUGUACCGGCCACAUCCCCCACAGCUUCUGCGAGGACCAUAUGCAAGGUAUGUCUCUGUCAUUGGAGCUUGGAGAAGUGCAGGUUUCUUUUAGCAGCUUGGGGUUAUUAAGAAGAGGGUCAGUAUUGCCCAGAACCGCAAGGACAAAUUUGAUUUUGGGAAGACAAAGGUCUGACAAGGAUGAGAAUGGGAUACCAGAUUACAACGGUGGAGGCUCGGACAUGGAUCUGCUCAUGCUCUCAACGGGAAUACUGGAUGUUCUCGAAGCUUUGCCAUACACACGUGCUACUUUUGGCACUUGCGUGGGCUCCAGUUUGUGUCAAUGCAAUUUGCAUCUGUCAGCGGAUUAUGGCGAGCUUGGUUAUUGGCCUACAGGGUGCUCCACCGAUGGUGAAAAUACCUCACAGGAUGAUGUUGGAUAUUAUUCUGCAAACUUUGGGCCUACCGGUGGCUGA
rnacentral:rRNA from 1 species